GUAGUUAAGAUUUAAAGCCUAACUAGCUAUAUGCACGUAGUCGUAACUGAAAGGUUGAUCGACCACAGUGGGCCUGAACAAAGCCCAUGACGAUUGUCACAGCAGUGAGGAAUAUUGGUCAAUAGCCUAACGGCUGAACCAGCAACUUGGAGGAAUGUAUAGCAAUAGCUACUUGCAUCAUUGUAAUAUGAUGUAAGAUCGACUAUGUCGAAUAAAAUUCUAGGUAGAAUUAUGAUAAUGACAUUGUCUGCCUAUGUGUCUUGACCAAAUUACGUGCCAGCAGUCGCGGUAAUACGUAGAAGACUAGUGUUAUUCAUGUUUAAUCGGUUUAAAGGGUACCUAGACGGUAAAUCAAGCCUAAAAUGAAAUAGAUAAAGGGACUAAUUUACUAGAGUUACUUACGAGGGGGUAUUAAAGUACUGCUGGUGUAGAGAUGAAAUCUGUCAUACCUCUUUUCAAUAGAAAAAUAACGGCACAGGUAUAGGCGAAAGCAUCCCCUUAUGUGAUAACUGACGUUGAGGGACGAAGGCUUUGUGUAGCGAACAGGAUUAGAUACCCCAGUAGUCAAAGCAGAAAAUGAUGAAUGUCAUAGAUUAGAUAUAUAAGUUUAUUCUAUAAAUGAAAGUGUAAGCAUUCCACCUCAAGAGUAAUUUGGCAACAUUGGAACUGAAAUCAUUAGACCGUUUCUGAAACCGUAGUGAAGUAUGUUGUUUAAUUUGAUGAUCCGCAAAAAACCUUACCACAAUUUGAAUAUUUAUAUCUUUUAUUG
rnacentral:rRNA from 1 species